GGAAGAAGAGAAAUGCCCAGCAAAUAUUCCCUAUGUAUCCAAGUCUUAGUGAUACACUUCGGAAUUGAGCUUCCCAUCUGCCAAAGUUUGAUAUCAGGUGAUUGAAAUCAAGGUGUCCAAAGCUGACAUACAAGUAGUUGGCGAGGGACCAGAUCAAGAGAGCAACAAACAUGGCAGCAAAAAUCAGCUCCAAUGCAGAAACAAUUCCAAGGGGAGCCAUUACGAGCACCGGUCGUUUCAAGAAGGCAGUAGCACUAUAACCAGAAAACGGAUAAAAAAAAGGGAAGGACUGGAAGACUGAAGAGAAAUCCAACCUUUUGGAGUAAUUGGACCCUCUUG